rnacentral:rRNA from 1 species
UACAGAGGGUGCGAGCGUUGUUCGGAAUUACUGGGCGUAAAGCGCGCGCAGGCGGCCAGGUAGGUCUGCUGUGAAAACUCGAGGCUUAACCUCGAGCUGUCGGCGGAAACCAGCUGGCUAGAGUCCGGAAGAGGAGAAUGGAAUUCCCGGUGUAGCGGUGAAAUGCGCAGAUAUCGGGAAGAACACCCGUGGCGAAGGCGGUUCUCUGGGACGGUACUGACGCUGAGACGCGAAAGCGUGGGGAGCGAACAGG